UGAAAGAACUUGUGUAAAUGAAAACACGUGAAAUUAGUAUCACGUGUAUAUGUGAUGUUAUGGAAUUUAACUAUGGCAAUUAAGUGAGAGGAGAUGGAAAGCUCUGAUGGCUACACAUUUUCAAAUCUUUCUUGUAUGAAGAUAGUGGUAAAGAAGAAAAUGUGUUUUUAUUUUAUUUUGUCAAUCAAGCCUUUUUUUUCAGUUAUUCACAUUGCAGCUCAUACACAUCCACACAUUCACAUUAAUGCAGUUUCUAAAUGAAUAUGGCUGAAAGGUCAUUAGUCUAAAUGUAGCAAAAAAAAAGAUUCAUCAUCAUCAUCCCAUAUCUAUCUGAGCAUUUCACUGUGGUUAAUUAAUUUGAACACAAUGUCAACAUUUCCGUACACGGUUUUAACGAACAGACACUUUUCUUUCCAAAAAGAAGAGCAUGCGAGAAGAGAGGAGAUGAGAAAAGAGAAAGAAAGAGAGAGGGAGGCAUAGAGAGAGCGGGAGACAGGAGGGAGGGAUACAGUUAGAGGGAGGUAGGGACACACAGACAGAUAAGGAGACAGAAGCAUUCCCGCUAUGCCACAUAUGUUUACAUGAUACCUGUAGCUGGUAGCUUUGUAGCUAGCUUCUAGCAUGUUACUUUCGUUUACGUCUUCGCUUAGUUCUUUCUGGAACGGGUGCUUCGUCGUUGACGAGGUACCUUUUGUAACGUACUGGAUCCAUUAUUUUUCUUUAUUUGUUGCUUAUUUACCACAGACCGUAAAGCAUAAUGGCAAGCAUGUAUCCACUCUGCUCUGAUCGGCCGCUACAGCGUCGCGUGCGAAUGACGUCAUCAAUCGCGCUGGGCCGCUUGUUGAUGACGUCAUUCCCAUGCAGGCGCGAUCGCGCCGAAAGAUAACGGCUGGGACGAAGUAUAAAGUAUUAAAAAUGGAGACAUCAGCGUUCCGCUAUGUCCUACUUGAAUGGACUGAGGGUGAGGAUAGUGGGGCGCACAGUAUUUUGACGAUGGACUGUGUCCGGAACUUUUCAGUUCAAGAUUUUUUUGCCUCGACUGAACAACACAAGAAGCUGGUGGAAUGGCGAAAAAGCCGCCAACCCUGGCCGGUUCACCGAGCCAAAAUUAUUGACGUGGCAAGGAGGGUCUUCCAAAUACAAGCACCAGGAGGGUGAGAAGCAGGAGGAGGGUCAUGACAGACUUUCAAAGAACAAGGUUGCCGUGAAAAAGAAAAAUCUUUCUAAAUACGAGGAGGAGGAGGGAGAAGUGGAUGAUGAGGCGCGUCAUGACACAAAGAACAAGCGGGCCAGAGAAGAGGAGGAGCAUAUUGGGGAUGAAGACGACAAAGUACCAGCCUCAAAGAAAAAGAGCGCUGCUGAAUUUAGAAAGCAACUGGACGAACAGAUGUGGGAGAGAAAAAAAAUUGAACAAAUGCAAAGAAAUUUGCAGGAGUUGCGAAAUGAAGUUCAGUCUCUCAAAAGUGAAAAUGCACAUCUGAAAGAUGUUCUGGAAUGGGAAGCAACCUGAAUGGUUCAAAAACGUGAUGUGUGUGUAUAUAUAAAAAGCAUCGUCCGGACCCUGAAAGCACCGUCUCCACCUAACUGUCAAAAAGAAAAACAGCGAGCGCGUAGAAAACUCCUUCCAGCGCGAGCAGAGAUUCUCCUCGCGAGCAACAAAGUUCACGUUUCGCAAGCGAGCAAAUACCUCGCAGAGACGAACUUUUGAUCGCGCGAGACAGACUUUUGCUCGCGGAUGUUUGACUUUGGUUAAAUUCUUAAGGUCAUUUAAUCAUUAUGUUUUGAUCAGAGUUGUGAUUAAAGGUUUGGGUGGGCCGCGAAAGAUUUUCAGAUUUCAAAUUGGGCUGCGGCAAUCUUGAGUUUGGGAAACGCUGGUCUAUGGAAAAGAGAACUAUGACCGGGUACUUUAACAUUAACAAAUGUAUGUAUCUUUAAGAUAACUAGGGUGUAAUUUGGAUAGGGGGUGGAUGUAGUGAUCAAUAUAUUCGGUGAUGUUGAAGGGCUCGGAACCGCAAUCGCUGACUAUAGGGCGGCCAGAACAACAAAGGGAACCGUCCAGGUCCCAGGAGUCUUAUGGAUUUUAGGGAGCAGAUAGAAGAGGCGGGGUUUGGGUUCAUCCGGGCCGUCCAAGUAUUGUUUUUGGUUAGGAUGGGAAUAAGGCUCUGGAGAGGGCUCUGGGGCAGAGUCAGAGACAGCGCCGUGGUCCGAGUGGGAUCCCCCACUUCACCAAUGAGGUCUGAGAACGCUUGCCGGUUGGCUUCUGUUGGUGAAACCUGAGCUCCUCUAUUCAACGGCUUUAUAAAACUAGAAAUGGAGCAGCUCGGUACAGGUACAACAUACCUGUUGUGUCAAACUCCCACACCCAGUCAUUCAUCCUCUGCUUGGAUCAGCGCCUCUUAUCCCGAUCCUGCCAUGCAAAGUACUUUAAAAUAUGCAACCAGUAUAUAUGAAAAAUCAACAGAAGCAUAUUUACCCAAUCAAAGAAAUGGAGAUUUCCCCACACUAUGUGGGUCCAGCAACACUCUGGCCACCCAACAGGAGACUGGCAUUCCCUGGAAAAGUGCCACUUUCCCUUUGAUAGGAGCACAGCCUUGAAUUCAGAGCGCCACCCCAUGGUGCCACCUGCUACACAUGGCAUAAACCGGUCCGGACUAUGCCCUUCACACAGUUAAAAUACAGUCUUCUUAUCUGCUUCAUGCUAUGUUCCCUCAGCAGUGCCCCCCAUCAGACCAGGGGUACCACUGCUGCUGAUGUCCCUCUUCGCUCUGUGAAUGUAAAAGGGUGUAAAAACACCCUAAUAAAACGGAGCAGCACAUUUAACUUUAAAACAUUAGAAUAAAUUAAAAACAGCAGUAUACAGUCCCAGGUUGUUUGCACGUCUCUCCAUACAAAACCAUCCGGAGCUCUAUGCUGAGGAACUCGUCAGUAAUGAACAGAGGGACAUCUGACAAUACUAUUUUUGUUGCUGGUUGUGAAAAUGCAACACCUGAACAAACAAUUAAUUCACCGUGCAACAUGUGCAGCAUCAUCGGGAAAUGAUCUUCCAGGCGGCUCACUAUAACCCGAUGGCUGGCCACAUGGGAUACGAAAAAACGCUAGACCAGAUAAUGACCCGAUUUUAUUGGCCAGGCAUCCGGCGGGACGUGCGCUGCGCUUCCUGCCCGGAGUGUCAGUUAGUGAACGCUCCGGCCGUUCCGAGGGCGCCGCUGCGUCCUCUGCCGUUGGUGGAGGUUCCGUUCGAGCGGAUCGGCAUGGACCUCAUCAGGCCGUUUCACCGGAGCGCACGCGGAUAUCGCUUUGUGUUAGUCCUCAUGGAUUACGCAACGCGAUAUCUGGAGGCAGUGCCAUUGCGCAAUAUCUCUGCAAAGAGUGUCGCGCAGGCUCUGUUUCAGGUCAUCUCCCGAGUUGGAAUCCCUAAAGAGAUUCUGACUGACCAGGGCACCUCGUUCAUGUCGCGCACACAGAGAACUUUACGGGUUACUGGGCAUUAAGUCCAUUCGUACUAGCGUGUAUCACCCGCAGACGGAUGGGCUGGUGGAACGUAUGAAUAAGACUCUGAAGUCCAUGAUCCGUAAAUUUAUUAGCGAAGAUGAACGUAAUUGGGACCACUGGCUUGACCCUCUGUUGUUUGCAGUGCGGGAGGUCCCCCAGGCCUCCACGGGAUUUUCUCCCUUUGAACUUUUGUUUGGCAGGACGCCACGAGGGGUGCUGGACCUUAUUAAAGAAAGCUGGGAGGAAGGUCCAAGCCCCUGCAAGAAUGAGAUCCAGUACGUCCUGGACCUGCGAGCGAAACUCCACACACUGGGCCGGAUGUCAAGAGAGAAUUUGCUGCAGGCCCAGGAGCGACAACAAGGGCUGUACGACAGAGGGGCCAGGCUGCGACGAUUUACACCGGGAGAAAAGGUACUUGUAUUACUUCCUUCUUCCAACUCUAAACUCCUAGCCAAGUGGCAAGGGCCCUUUGAUGUCACACGGCAGGUGGGGGACGUCGACUACGAGGUGGUGCGGUCUUGACAGGGGCGGGGGUAUACAGAUAUACCACCUGCACCCCCUGAAAGCCUGGAGGGGGGUGGAUUCUGUCUCUCUGGUCUCUACGGUAUCAGAAAGGGAGGAGCUGGGGCCGGAGGUUCCAAAAGCAGGCCGGACCGACCUCAUAGUACACAGUUUCGAGACGCCCCCGGAUGUGACGGUGAGGUCACGAUCCUACAGGUUGCCCGAACACAAGAAAGAAGUGCUUCGGAGGGAAUUGGCGAGUAUGUUGGAGUUGGGGGUAAUAGAAGAGUCCAACAGUGCCUGGUGCAGCCCCAUCGUCCUUGUGGCAAAGAAGGAUGGAUCUGUACGGUUCUGCGUGGACUAUCGCAGGGUGACUGACGUGUCACGGUUCGAUGCCUACCCAAUGCCCCGGGUCGACGAGCUCCUGGACCGGCCAAGCACUGCACGUUUCUUCACGACACUGGAUUUAACCAAGGGCUACUGGCAGAUUCCUCUGUCACCAGAGUCCAAGUAGAAAUCGGCAUUCUCCACCCCGUACGGUUUGUACCACACUUCCCUUCAGGUUGUUUGGGACCCCGGCCACGUUUCAGCGCCUCAUGGAUCGGGUGCAUUCUACCUGAAUGGAGAAUGGUUUAACGUGCUCUCACAGACCUUUGAUCAAAGGAGCAUUGUGUGUUACCCUCAUCUUCACCUGAGUUCUUAUCUCAACCUGAUUUAUGGCUUCUCGUAACUGGCACUGAGGAUGGUCUUCAUGUGUAUAAAAACUCGUUUUUGCUGCUCGGAGACACCAUUACACAGAACGCUGGAAUAUGUGCUGGUGUGUUUGACCUCCUCCUUGCAAGCAACAGUUAGAGACUGAUAUCUGCGGAAAAUUGCUCAUGUAAUCUUUUUCUCUUCUAAAUAAAUGUUAACUUUGUGACUUUAAUUGAUUAACGUGCUGCGAUCCUUCUCAUCAACCAACUCGGGGGGGAUUGGAGAUCCCGACACUCUAAGAUCAAUGAGAGGGAUACCUUGUUCACGAGCCCAGGCCUCAUCCACAAAACUUCCUUCGGCACCAGAGUUAAUCAAAGCCAGGCAGGAGAUGGCGGAGCCCAGCCACCGUAGAUGGAAGGAAAAGGUAGUGCAGGUGCGUGACAGGGGCGUCUAAGGAGGAUGCACUCACUAGUAACCCCCUCUCUACUGGUGAACUCUGGCUUUUACCGGGCAGGCUGAGAAGAAAUGGGAAGGUGAUCGACAGUAUAUACAAAGACGUCCGGUGAUGCAGCGUUGGCGUUCCGCAGCGGAGAUCCGUAACCCUCCUAGCUGCAUGGGCUCCGAAUCAGCGCUGGCGGAGGGUGACGGAGAGGAAGGCGCAGAGGGAAGUGACCCCUUCAGGUUGCAGGCUCUGCGGCGUAGUUCGAAGUGCUUCUCGACGCAGAUCACCAUGUCAAUGGGGGGGGUCAAGUCGAGAAGGAAUCUCGCGGGCUAAAACCUCAUCCUUAAUCUCUGCAUUCAAUCCCUCCAGAAAUUGUGCCACCAGAGCGGGUUCGUUCCAGUCGCAGGAAGUCGCUAACGUGUGAAAUUCAAGUUGGCGGUCAAUCUCUUUCCCCGACAAAGAGGAGUCGAGAGGCUUCAGCCCCGUGUGCGGAAUGGUCGAAAACUCUUGACAUCUCCUCCUUGAAGAGCACAUAACGGUCGAGGCAGUCGACGUCCGAACUCCAGACAGCAGUUCCCACUCACGCGCCCGGCCGGUGAGAAGAGAGACCACGAAGGCGAUGCGGGAUCGGUCACUGGCGUACCUCGAGGGCUGAAGUGAAAAAACUUCCGACAUUCUGUCGGCUCACCCGCAUAGCAUGGAGGAUUGUUCACUCUGGGUUCCGGCGCGUCGAGGUUCCGGGCCGAGGGGGGGAUCACGAACACAAAGGUGAAGAAGCUGCUGAGACAAGUUGGUCACCUGAGCCGCGAGAGAUUCAACAGCCUGAUGAGUGGCGGCUAGCUCACCCUCAUGACUUCCCAGCAUAGUUUCCUGUAGCUCGAGGGCAGACUGGAACUGGUUCUCCCUUGCUGGAACCAUGGUGGCCAGAGUAUUCUGUCGUGUUUGUGAAGGAGAGAGGACCCAAACGCAAGGGAAGCUAACGUCUGUUUUAAUCAACUUAGAAUGUCCAAGGCAAAAAAUGGAACUAAGGUAGCCAGUCUUUGGAACACAGACCAACAUUAGAUCUUCUCAUCCUUUGACCUCUUUUUACCUCAGUUUACAUUCAGGAUUAAAGUGUGACAAAUAAUGAUUAUAUAUAAAGAAACCAAAAGUCCAGCAUUAAAUACAUCUGUAAUAACCUACGUAAACACAGUUAAAUAUAAGUAAAUCUAUGGUUUAAAUACAUGUAUUCGCACGUUUACUCUGCGUCUCCUUGAACUGUCUCUGUUCUGCCUUCACUGACACAAUGCGUGGAAAAUAAAUAUCUGAUUCAAG
ensembl:lncRNA